GAAUACCUUGGCUUAACCAAGGAAGGGCAUUUGAAACUGCUUGGCUUGAGUACGGGAGGGGGAAGCGGAAUUCCCGGUGUAGAGGUGAAAUUCGUAGAUAUCGGGAGGAACACCGGUGGCGAAGGCGGCUUUCUGGACCGAUACUGACGCUGAGACGCGAAAGCGUGGGGAGCAAACAGGAUUAGAUACCCUGGUAGUCCACGCCUUAAACGUUGGGCACUAGGUGUUGUGGGUAUUGACCCCUGCAGUGCCAAGGGCGAAUUCCACAGUGGAUA
rnacentral:rRNA from 1 species